GAUGAACGCUGGCGGCGUGCCUAAUACAUGCCAGUCGAGCGAACAGACGAGGAGCUUGCUCCUCUGACGUUAGCGGCGGACGGGUGAGUAACACGUGGAUAACCUACCUAUAAGACUGGGAUAACUUCGGGAAACCGGAGCUAAUACCGGAUAAUAUAUUGAACCGCAUGGUUCAAUAGUGAAAGACGGUUUUGCUGUCCCUUAUAGAUGGAUCCGCGCCGCAUUAGCUAGUUGGUAAGGUAACGGCUUACCAAGGCAACGAUGCGUAGCCGACCUGAGAGGGUGAUCGGGCACACUGGAACUGAAACACGAUACAGACUCCGACGGGAGGCAGCAGUAGGGAAUCUUCGGCAAUGGGCGAAAGCCUGACGGAGCAACGCCGCGUGAAUGAUGAGGGUCUUCGGAUCGUAAAACUCUGUUAUUAGGGAAGAACAAAUGUGUAAGUAACUAUGCACGUCUUGACGGUACCUAAACAGAAAGCCACGGCUAACUACGUG
rnacentral:rRNA from 1 species